GAUGAAGAACGUAGCGAAAUGCGAUAAGUAGUGUGAAUUGCAGAAUUCAGUGAAUCAUCGAAUCUUUGAACGCACAUUGCGCCCUUUGGUAUUCCUUAGGGCAUGCCUGUUCGAGCGUCAUUUAAACCUUCAAGCUAAGCUUGGUGUUGGGUGACUGUCCGCUUCACGGCGGACUCGCCUCAAAAUUAUUGGCGGCCGGUACAUUGGCUUCGAGCGCAGCAGAAACGCGAACUCGGGCCCGUCGUAUUGGCUCCCAGAAGCUAUCUUCACAAUUUUGACCUCGGAUCAGGUAGGGAUACCUGCUGAACUUAAGCAUAUCAAUAAGCGGAGGA
rnacentral:misc_RNA from 1 species